AAACCAUGAUGUGGGCAGAGCCUAAGCAUUUCCUUCAAAUGCUCCCACGCAUCGUAAAGAGAUUUCCCAUCCUUUUGAGUGAAUCGUUUGAUUUGAUCCCUUAAUUG
rnacentral:snoRNA from 2 species